rnacentral:misc_RNA from 1 species
CCAAUCUUUUUAGCGGGCCUUGGCUUUGUCCAUGGUCUCGCAAAAAAAAACCUGUAUUUAAAACCCGCUCGUAAAUUAUAAAACAUAAUUUUUGUUAUUAUUAUAAUAAUAAAAGA